CUAAAAAAAGGGAAAAAAAGAUAAAAGAAUAGCCUCCUUUCUUCCCACGUCCACCUUUCUUUCCCCCUGUUUCCUCCCUGCCAGCCCUGUUUUCAUCGCGGCCUACCUAGAUUCCACCAGAUCAAAUGGCGGAGGAGAGAGAUCUUACAGAGCAGAACCGUCUAAUCGCGUUCGAACCUCGAAGGCUCCAUCUGGAUCUGUCGCGGCAGGAGCAGCACGCAUAAGAACAAACAGACGGUUUCCUUCUUCGCUUCCUUGUCGGAAUUCGAAAUCUUUUUUAUUUUCGGUUUGUAUAUGUAUUGUGCUGGCGAUUUUACACUUCCACGGGUUCUUGCGUAUGCUGGCUUCCAGAUUCUGAUCUUAAGCAUCUUUCGGCACACUCUGAUUCCAUUUGCCAGCGGAUUAUCUGCUUAUUUCGCAGAGAAGGUUCCCUCUUUGUUUGCACAUGGUUUUGGAUUGUUCACGGAUCCUUUCAGAUGGCCAACUUGUGUACGAACUGUUUGCCUUCUUACUGCAGAAUCUGAAUGUUCCUUCUGAGAUUCAGGAUUUGGUUCGGGACCAUGUCUGCUGCUUUCAUGUAUCGAACGCUCUUUCAUCGUAUCGAUGUAGCCUUUUCGCUGAAAAUUGAAUUUUUGAGAUGGUGGGUGGAGCCUUUGUUAAUCUCAGAGCAAUGAAGUAACCUAUGUAGUGUAUCAGCAGAUUGGUUGUUUUUACAGAUGGAAGAUGGAUUGGGUUAGUUUCACAGGAUCCUGGUACUGCACUUUUCAAUCCAUUUGUUGAGAGGGAAAGCACUUAUUGUCCUAGUGAGAAGUUUAUGCAUCUGGCACAGAUGUGGUACAGACGAGGGAGAAAUAUAUGCUUGUCCUAGUAUGAAAAAGCCCUUUUGGUGGUUUACUGUCCAUUACUGUCCCAUCAUUUGUUUCUCCGUUCCCUUUUCUCCUCAUAAGAAAUAUGAAUAUGAACCGGUAUGUGAAACGAGAAAUCUGCUUUUGCUUUCAUGCAUUGGAAAUUGUUUUGUUUCCACCGCUCACAUAGGAAUCUUUUAUUCAUUUGCAUCCAUGGAUUUGUUCAUCUAGUUUUUGCAUAGGGAAGGAACUCAUUAUAUAUGUGAGAGGGGCACCCACUUACAUGUGUAAAGGACCAUGUCUUAGUGGGUUAUAUUAUGCAGAGUCCGUCAGGCUGUUUAUUUCCAUGAUUAGUUGUGUCCAAAUUUUAUCAUUUGGAGAAUAUGAGCUACACCCUUCAGAUGGCACUUUCCUUUUGGAUGCAACUUUCUUGCUCCACUUGGAUAGGUGUUCUGAUGAAGUAUUCAGUUGAGCAGAUUUGCUUCAGAUGAUUCUUCCUCCUAUUCCCACUUUCAUGAAGUGCCUAAUACUAAAAACUUGUUUCCAUGCUGAAGUACUUUUGGAUAUGAUGGUUGAUACCUUGCCACAUUUCUAUUUUGCAUAUAAGAGCUACCUUGUUUUGCAGUUGUAGGUUGCGAUCAAUUUUUUUGUUCAUACUUAGUUGUACAGUUUUUUUUUAGGGCAAGUUGUACAGUUUUUUCUUUAGCAGAAAAAUGUAGUUGGAAGUAGCUGCUAACUGCUGGAAGUAGAUCCACAUCUUAGAUAUACAGUUUAUGUUCAGAGCUUCUAGAAGUUCCAUCACAUCUUAGGUACAUAGUUUUUUCUUGAGCAGAUGAGGUCCCUUGAAUAGUUUUAUUUCUUCUAUUAUACAACUUUUAUUUCUUCCUGUUUAUAUGGUUUUUGUUAUGGUUGGAAACAAUGAUUCCUCAACUCUGUAAUGGCAUUACUAUUCCUCAACUCGAUGUUUUCUGUGGCUUCUCUCUUUCCUAACCUCUGGACUUUGCUAAACUAGAUUUGCUCAUAUUGAUUUAGUGAAUAAUUGGAAGCUGUGAACAUAAAUUGACCCUGUAUGUUACUUUCGUACCAGAGCUCAGUUACAUUUGAGGCACAGAUCUAAAAAUAAAUUAACCCGAAACUCUGUAACCUAUAGCCUAUGGGUCUUAUAAUCUAUAGAGACUACCUAGUAACCAUGAUUAUGUUGUAACUUGUAACUGACUGCAUCUCCUAAGGCGCUUUGUAUUUACCAGGUAAAAAACCACGUAGGUAAAUAUCUUGUUGGCCUUCCAGUUCGUGGAUAUCAUUUCUUUAUGAAUUUGUGGUUCGCGGCCAGACGAACAAUGAUAAUAAAUUUGUGAACCCUGUCGAAACUAGCUGCUAGAAAAGUUUAACUAUUCCUUUGCUUGCAGUUGCUCAUAGCAUCCUACUAUCUCCAUGCGAAAACUGCCUGUCAGCCGAACACAGUCCAGGCUCUACAUGUUGUGAUCAUUGACGAUGUGGGUCAUGAUUACGUUUUAAGAGGAGCUGAGAUCACGCCAACAAAAAGGAAAAAACCUUGGUGCCACAUCUAAGCUUUACAUGGUCAGCAUUCUGAAAUACAGUCUACCCAAAAAUUCAAGAUUCUCCAAACAGAAGGUACAAACCUACAGCCACCUACAUCUGAAACAAAUAUUAGCAAUGGAUUGUACAACAGGCAGUUUUCUUAUGUUGUGUAUACAUGUCCCUGCUGUGUUUACAUGGCAUCAGCUUGGUCACCAUCAACAGGCAUCGCAUCAACGUAGUUUGCUUGAUGCUGGUUACCAGCAUACAAUGCAUUCCUUCGCCCAUGGUUGUGCCCAUCUGUUCCCACCAAGAGAAAGGGACGUUAUCAAAUGCUUCGCAUGAAUCAACUGCAAGCUUGUCGAUACAUGUAAAAUGAUGGCAUCAUCGUUGUAUCACGAUCUGUGCUUAUUACAUUUUCAAAAGAGGAUAAGUGCACAUGUAGCCAUGCAAAAAAAGAGAAUAAGGGCACAUGUUACAUCUAGCCAUGCAAAAAGGACUAACAAUUAUCAUAUGCAUUUUAUGGUUGAAUAAAUAUACGAAAUAAACAUCCAUUGUAUUACAAA